UUCUGGGAAUUGAAACCCACACAUCUUAAAGUGGCUAAGUUUUAAAAAAAUGCUGGGGUUAAAGGGGGAUUGGUAGGAUUUAGCUGCAAUUGGUUAAAUUGCAAUUAAAUAAUUAGCUGGGUGGGAUUUAACUGCAAUUGGUUAAAUUGCAAUUAAUUAGAUGGGUAGGAUUUAGCUGCAAUUGGUUAAAUUGCAAUUAAUUAGAUGGGUAGGAUUUAACUGCAGUUGGUUACAUUGCAAUUAGUUGGUUAGGACUGAACUGCAAUUGGUUAAAUUGCAAUUAGAUGGGUAGGAUUGAACUGUAAUUGGUUAAAUUGUAAUUAAUUAAUUAGAUGGGUAGGAUUGAACUGCAAGCCCUUUAGCAUCCUUGCUCCUUCGUGUGCCUUCUAUCUAGUUCCUUAUCUGUCCUUUUGUACUGGGGCAAUCAAAACUGCCACAAUAUAGGUAGUCCUCGACUUACAACCACAACUGAGCCCAAUAUUUAUCAUGGGGAUGCUGCAAAGGUCAUAACUGAAAUGUGGUCAUAAGUCACAUUUUUCAGUGCUGUCCUAACUUUGAACGGUCACUAAAUGAAUAGAACAGCUGGAAGGGACCUUGGAAGUCCAGGCCCCUGCUAAAACAGGAGAACCUAUGAAUAAACUGUUGUAAAUUGAGGACUACCUGUAUUAUAGAUGUGGGCUGACCAGCACAGCAUAGAGCUGGACUAUCACUUCUUGUGAUGUUGAUACUGCAUUUCUCUUGAUGCAGGCCAAGACUGUGUUAAUGCUUUUGGUUGCAGCCUGGCUCAUGCUUAAUGUGUGGUUUUGCAGAUCAUCUAGUUUCUUUUCGCCAGUACCUUGACUAAGCCAGAUUGACCUCAUGUGGGCCAGACAGGGACAGCAAAGGACCGGAUGUCAUAAAAUGCUUAGGUCUGCAUUAUGUUGUGGCUGAGCAUGGCUGGGGAAUUCUGGGAAUUGAAUCCCACCCAUCUUAAAGUAGCUGCAGUUGAAAAACAUUGAUCGAAAUCAUCUAUCCUUUAAGGCCUCUGCUUAUACAGCCAAGGAUCAUAUUCGUUCAUGAACCACUACAAACCAAAGCUUAUGCUCUUUUAAGAAGAUUUGGAGAAGAUGCUAUCAGACUCCUGAAGAGGAUGGCAAGGAGCCAUAGGGCCCCCUCGGGAGAAAAGUGGA